UCUCCUUGCGUAUGCAGCGAUCAGCAUCACAACAGGGUGUGAAGGGAAAUGGAACACAUUCUCCUCAUGAUAGAAAAUGGCAAAGAUGAGAAUAUCUCUGGAAGGCCUAGAAUACAGAGGUGUUGAAGACAUUUGAUCAGCCUUUUCUCAUGAGCAUCUACAGUAGAGACUGAUAUUGAGCUUGAUUACAGCUUGGUAUUUUCAGGAUCUUGUUCUGUUUGCACAUUAGGUUGCCCGGUUUGAGCCUUUGAGGUGUGUGUGGAAUGGGCAGGGGAGGGAGAUGGAGGGACACAGGAUUGAAGAUUUUAUGUACAGUAGUAGUGUCUUAAAAUUCCUGCCCCGAGGUUUGAUUAUAUUUCUUGUCUCGUAUCACCUUUUUAUAUCCAGAGUUUGGCAUUAUAUGUAAGAUGAAUUGAGUUUCAGAGGACCAUGGAAUAUUGAAAUAAGAUGAAAUAUUCCUUUUGCUUCA